CUAUCUCUGCCAUCGCCCCGCGAUGACCGCUCCGGCGUAUGCCAGCGGACCGCGGCAUUCGGUUUAUCUAUUCUACACUCGCACAGUCACACCCACGAAGAUACCAGAGUGGGAGGACGACUUACCCUUUACUUUUGCAACUCUAUCCAAUAACGUUACUCUCUCCUCACGCGGAUGUCUACCGAGUUUGGUAUGAUUUUCUUACGUGUUUACGACCGAUGGAUCCACAUCUUACGUUUGGCAGUUGGUGUAUAUUUAUUUACAAUUAUAAGAAUAUAGGAUGAUGCAUGAUGAUCCUCGUCGGGAAUUAUAAGUGAUCGUGACGUCAGGAAUACCAGCGAAUCAGAGUGCCUGAAACACGAGAGAAUGAGCGUUAUUUUCUUUUGUGCCGUACCAUACAUACAUGCGUCGGUCGAUUAUGAAUGCCGCAAAUCGCACGAUGCGAUGAGUUUUUCUUUCUUUUUUUUCGAGAGCAACGCUUCGAUGUAAUCUACGCGAUGAUUGUAUUCACUACGGAUACAGCGCUCUUCUACAUUCAAACACUGAACAUCAUCGAUAAGCUUAUACAUUUUUUACAGCUCCAAAAUUGCGAUUGGAUGUCGAGAAUGAGAGCCACGGUUAGCGCGGUAAAGCGAUACAGCAGUGAGCAGAUACUACCGGUACAUAUGAAUGGCAUGACUAAAUCUACACCGCCGUCGAGGCAACAUCAAAUGUAAAGCACCAUGAUGUCCAGAACUGAAAAUGAUACAGGCCGAACGUACAGCUUGGCAUUAGAGAUGAUGAAGUUUGACCAAAAUUAUGCGAAAAAAAAACUUCUGAAUUGGGAGGUGCACGAUCUAGCGACGACCGUCAACGUCUAAUGCUCACCUUGAGCAGGUCUACGAUUAUUUUCUACGAAAGAAAAGAAUGGAGGACGAAAUAGAAGAAAGUUUUAGGAAAAUCAAACGCUGCGUUAGUGGAUCGCAAUUUUGCAAAACGUGAUUAACAUAAGGAAGAUCUUUUUGAACUCAAUCUGUAGCUCACUCCAUACCGCUGCAACGCGAAACGCAGCAAAUAUUGUUUAUGCUUUGUUCCAGCACACCAAGGUACGUUGACAUUUGGGUAUAUUCGACAAAAUGAAUUCCGCCAGUUUUCAGUUCUGAAGGCAAUAGCUGCAUUUGACUCAUUAGACCGCUUAAUUAUCGCGGUUCGACCGCGAAACGUCAUACGGAAAAAUUCUGAAGAAUUCUGCGUCUUUUAGAAGCUCAAUUAAUUAAGCCAGUAUUUUUGUAUUCAAUUUAAAUAAUGGAAUAAACAACAUAUCAAGCAAUUUU